AAGGCUUUAAGUUAAAUAAACUAAUAGCCUUCAAAGCUAUAAAUAUAAGAAAAGUCUUUUAAGCCUUA
rnacentral:tRNA from 1 species